rnacentral:Y_RNA from 1 species
GGCUGAUCCGAGUGCAGUGGUGUUUACAACUAAUUGAUCACAGCCAGUUACAGAUGUCUUUGCUCCUUCUCCACUCCCACUGCUUCACUUAACCACAG